AGACAACGCUAUAAAUGCAUAUACUAUGCAUCUAAGAAAAUUGCAGUCCGAUCUGAAACUUCUUUGAGAAUUAUUGAGUUUAUUUACAUUCAAUAUGCAGCAUUGGGCAGUCAUAGUCUGCAGUGUUGUUCUUUUAACAAUAGAAUCUGACGCGAAGGUGCCGGUUGUCUGCGCCAAGAAAACGUUCAACGAAUGGCAAGUUGAUGUUCAUCACAGAUUUGAUGAAGUCUCUCAGUACGACUGCUCUGGGUCGUCUUGUGGAGGCCAGUGUGUUGCACUAGUAAAAUGCGCAUGCGGAGCUCCGUAUACAGGACUAUGGUCUCCCGGUUAUAACGUGGCCGCAUACUGUCAGCAUGGUACAGGACAUGUAGCAGCGGGGACCGCUAUAGCAACAUUUGAGCAUGGAACAUACAACAACAGGUGGACAGAUCAUACUGCGGUAUUCUUGCGAUGCAGUGGCAAUGGAAAAUUUCAAGUUAUGGAACAGGCUUGUGAAUUCAGUGCGAGGCUGGCUGAGUAUUCGUCAUACAGUUCAUAUUACAACAGAUUUAGUGUUAUUCUCACUGACCAGGGAAAUUUGUACCCAGGUCACCACUGCACAUGGAAAUAUAGAAGUUGUUAACAUAUCAAAGACACUGAAUAUCGUUUGACAUUUAUGAUUCGAGAUAUGAGAUAUGUUAAAAAAAAUAAAAAUUAAUAAUAUGGAAUCUAAACCUAUAUUAUGUCCUCAUUUAGAGCUGUAUGGGAAAAGGGAUAGUGUUUAAUGUUAGGUUGAAAUGUAUAAAUUUGUAAGUAAAACAUCAAAUUGGUCAAUAUUAAAGACAAACUUAUAUCAUCUGGUAAUAAAUGUAAUGCAUUUUGGACAGCAACUUCAUGAAGGUUAUUCAGUAAUUGAAUGUUUAUUGUGGUUUUGUGAUAUGAUAUUAAAUAUGCUACUGAAUCUAGAAAUAAAAAUAACACUAGUAAUUAUUUGUAGCAUGGUCUCACAGAAAAAUAAAUAAAAUAAUAACUAUUA